rnacentral:rRNA from 1 species
CGGGGUGCAGCAGGCGCGAAAACUCUACAAUGCAGGCAACUGCGAUAGGGGAACAUCGAGUGGCGUCCAUAUUGGAUGUCUGUCCUCCCGCCUAAAAAGCGGGAGUUAGCAAGGGCCGGGCAAGACCGGUGCCAGCCGCCGCGGUAAUACCGGCGGCUCGAGUGGUGGCCGAUAUUAUUGAGUCUAAAGGGUCCGUAGCCGGCUUUGCAAGUCUCUCGGGAAAUCCAGCGGCUUAACCGUUGGUCGUCCGGGGGGUACUACAUUGCUUGGGACUGGGAGAGGUAGGAGGUACUCAGGGGGUAGGAGUGAAAUCCUGUAAUCCUUUGGGGACCACCGGUGGCGAAGGCGUCCUACCAGAACAGGUCCGACGGUGAGGGACGAAAGCUAGGGGCACGAACCGGAUUAGAUACCCGGGUAGUCCUAGCCGUAAACGAUGCUCGCUAGGUGUCGCAACAGUCGUGAACUGUUGUGGUGCCGUAGGGAAGCCGUGAAGCGAGCCACUUGGGAAGUACGACCGCAAGGUUAAACUUAAAGGAAUUGGCGGGGGAGCACAAGGGCGAAUGGC